rnacentral:rRNA from 1 species
UACGAAGGACCCGAGCGUUAUCCGGAUUUAUUGGGUUUAAAGGGUGCGCAGGCGGACUAAUAAGUCAGUGGUGAAAGCCUGAUGCUUAACAUCAGAACUGCCAUUGAUACUGUUAGUCUUGAGUACGGUUGAGGUGGGCGGAAUGUGUCAUGUAGCGGUGAAAUGCUUAGAUAUGACACAGAACACCAAUUGCGAAGGCAGCUCGCUAAACCGUAACUGACGCUGAGGCACGAAAGCGUGGGGAGCAAACAGG